rnacentral:lncRNA from 1 species
AUAACAUACUCUGGUUAAAAUUUCUCUAUGGUAUUGUAAAAAAAACACCCUUUUUACCAUGUCAAAAUCAGCACUGCAGAAAUCAACCUGUUUUUUGCAUGUUGCUUUAAAUGCUAAUGAGCUCUGCUGACCCCGCCCCUCUCAUCUGUGGGGUGAAGAGCUGUGCUCUGAGAGACUGUUUACUUAAGCUGAAUUUAUCAGUGAAACCUGCUAACUAGCAUGUUAUUUGGAAUAGCAAUCACAAAGAUUCAUAAAAAUCCCUGACCGUGAGUUCACACCAACGCAGAUGAGAGCGUCAAAGUGGCCGGAAGUCAUUAAUUUUUAAUGUGAGCCAGUGGUGCGGCACGUCUUGGAUGGUGAGGGCGUAGAGAAGAGUUGAAGUCAGGAGAAUGGGAUAGAUGCUGUUUAUGCUGCUCACCCUUGCCCUUCAUGGACAGUUGAUUGGGAGAGCCUACCGGCAGCUGUCAACCCCACUGAAGGUUAUUCUCUUUGAAAAUAAAGAGGAGUCUUUGGUCAGGGCCUGAGACAGAAGCACUCAGCUCGGAUUAACAAACAUCGGCUUCAUCCAGACAAACCUCGACUAUUUCACUGGAAACUUCAACAUUGGGUUGAGUGCCACAUUUUGUUGUACGUAUGCAUGAUAUCUGUCUGUGAAGAACAAGACAGAAAUCUAUUUAGCAAGUAGGUUAAAUGUAUUUACAGAUGUUGUUGUAAUUGUGUGUUUGUGUAGGAAUUGGUUCAUAACUCAUCCAGCAUUUGUGCUAUUGUCAUGAAUGAUACUUUAAGUAUGUGUGUGUGAUAUAAUAUUGAUAUAGUGAGUUUCAAAUUCUUAUAUUUUGCAGUCUUUAAUCAUAAUAUAAUGCAGUUUUUCUUUAAUAAUUAGUAGGGCUGUAAAAUCGAUACAAAUAUGUGACGAUUUAAAUCAGUUGAGAUGUUAAACAAAUAGCGAUACAGUUGGGGUAGAUUAGAUUCAUUUUUAAUUUAGAUUAAAAACUGUUUAAUUUAGAUUAAAAACUGCUCAUGCUGCAUGCUUGGGUCAUAGUUAAAAUGCAGUGGUUGCCUCUAAUUUUAAAUGGAAAGAGCACAGACAAAGCCUUAGUCUGUUUAUUUGAAGAUAAUUGAUUUGGGGGUUUGUUUUAAAAUUUCAAUUAAGUUAUGUUAUUCUACAU